ensembl:lncRNA
UAUCCAUGCCCAAAGUGCUGGUGUGCUUCAUGCCCUCUCUGCCUAUUUGUACGAAGACACCUGUACCUUCAUCAAAACAUGGGAUAUGAUGCAUUCUGAUAGACCAGAUAUUAGUGAAGUGCCACUUGGACGAGUCCUGAUCAGAGCCAAUUCCAGCGAUGCAACAUUCUUCUGCCCUGAGAAGACUGCAGUUUUGGUCGAGGGUAACAUGAUCAUUGUUUUCACCACCCUGGCUGAUGCAUUUCUAGUGAUAUUUGGACUGACCUACGCCCUGCACCUAAGCUACCCAAAAUGUUUGGCCAACAUUUUUGACUUCAUUCAGAACGUUUUGAUGGGUCUGGAGGGUGGGAAGUUGAAGCCCAAAGUGCUGAGUCUUAAAAAUGAUCUUUUGGCAGCAGAAUAAUGUCCAGGGUUCUUACACAGCCCUCAAGUGCCUGUUAAAGCAAGUAAUUCAGUUUAUCAUGUUUCCAAGUCUGGAUAAGUUUUUUUUUUUUUUUUUUUUUUUUUUUUUUAAAGAGAGAAUAGAAUAAAGAAAUCUUUGCAGACUCUGUUUCAUACUUCAUUAUCUAAAAGCCACAUCCAAAGUAAAAGGGGUGAUUUUUAUUUUAUUAAUUUAUUUUUUCCCCCAUCAUCACUUGUGUUUUUAGUUGAUUUUGAUUGUGUUUUUAGUUAGAUAACUGUAAAUCUAUAGAGAAAAUGAAGGACAAUCUCACUACAUUUCUGGCUUCUAGGUGGGAUCUUGAAUGUCACGUAAGGAACGUUCCUCCUGAACUAUUCAUAACUGACAUAAGGCACUAAGGAGGUUUAUAACACUUUGUUUUAUGUCUCUAAAGAAGUAUUUUUCUAUUUAAUGUUUUAUUGCUUUGUUGUUGAGACUGUGAUUGCACUCUACAAAUGUGCAUUUUGCAUAACCACAGUAUUGACAUAUUAAAAAGGUUAACAAUUAUAUUUCAGUGUAUUAGCUGCACUAUACUAUAACUUUCAUUCGGUUUUCCCACCUAAUAAUGCAGGAUUUUCUUUUCCUUUUGUUUGUUUUUUAAUAAAAAGGCCAUACUCAUGUGUUAAUCAAAUUUGAAUACUCUUGAAACAUGUUGUGAAAUUCUUUAUUUCUAAUAUUGUAACCUUGUGCCAAAAUUUCCGACAUUAUUCCCUAUAAAAUGUGCACUGUAAACCCCAACAGUCUACCUGACUUAUAAAGUUUGUGGAUAUAACAAUUAAAAUUCCUCACAAAGUUGAAACAACUUAAAACUUUUCUGUUCGGUUAACGAUUCAAACAGUUAUAAUUGUACAUGGCUUAGAAGUUAAGAGUAAAUACUGCUUUCUUAAUUAUGAUUUUUGAGUAAAUGUUUUUUUCCGAGCUCCGCAUGUGGACGUCAUGACGUCAUGACGUCUUCUCUCUAACCUGAACGACGUUGACAGAAAAUUCUGUUCAAUAUGGCUGCCCUUCUCGAGCGACUGGAGAACACAUUUGGAGAAACUUGCUGAAGGCCAAAGACAAAAAGACAGAAGAAAAAAAAAUUCAGACUGCAAUUAAUUUCAGGUGGAGACAGUAAACACAGGAGGCGCCUGAUAUCAACGUGAAACGCACUGCAGUACUUCGUGCCCUUCCUGUAUACCUGCG